rnacentral:rRNA from 1 species
CCUACGGGAGGCAGCAGUGGGGAAUAUUGGGCAAUGGGCGAAAGCCUGACCCAGCAACGCCGCGUGAAGGAAGAAGGCGUUCGGGUUGGAAACUUCUUUUGACAGGGAAGAGCAGAAGACGGUACCUGUCGAAUAAGCCACGGCUAACUACGUACCAGCAGCCGCGGUAAUACGUAGGUGGCAAGCGGUGUCCGGAUUUACUGGGUGUAAAGGGCGUGUAGCCGGGCUGACAAGUGAGAUGUGAAAUCCGGGGGAUCAACGCCCGAACUGCAUUUGAAACUGUUGGUCUGGAGUAUCGGAGAGGCAGGCGGAAUUCCUAGUGUAGCGGUGAAAUGCGUAGAUAUUAGGAGGAACACCAGUGGCGAAGGCGGCCUGCUGGACGACAACUGACGGUGAGGCGCGAAAGCGUGUGGAGCAAACAGGAUUAGAUACCCUUGUAGUC